UCGAGAAUUUUUCUCAAUGGGGGAAACCCUGAAGGAGCGACGCCGCGUGGAGGAUGAAGGUCUUCGGGUUGUAAACUCCUGUCAUUUGGGAACAAGGUGCGCGCGUUAACUGCGCGCGCAUUGAUAGUACCAGAAGAGGAAGAGACGGCUAACUCUGUGCCAGCAGCCGCGGUAAUACAGAGGUCUCAAGCGUUGUUCGGAUUCAUUGGGCGUAAAGGGUGCGUAGGUGGCGCGGUAAGUCGGGUGUGAAAUUUCGGAGCUUAACUCCGAAACUGCAUUCGAUACUGCCGUGCUUGAGGACUGGAGAGGAGACUGGAAUUUACGGUGUAGCAGUGAAAUGCGUAGAGAUCGUAAGGAAGACCAGUGGCGAAGGCGGGUCUCUGGACAGUUCCUGACACUGAGGCACGAAGGCCAGGGGAGCAAACG
rnacentral:rRNA from 1 species